rnacentral:rRNA from 1 species
UACGGGGGGGGCAAGCGUUGUUCGGAAUUACUGGGCGUAAAGGGCUCGUAGGCGGCCAACUAAGUCAGACGUGAAAUCCCUCGGCUUAACCGGGGAACUGCAUCUGAUACUGGAUGGCUUGAGUUCGGGAGAGGGAUGCGGAAUUCCAGGUGUAGCGGUGAAAUGCGUAGAUAUCUGGAGGAACACCGGUGGCGAAGGCGGCAUCCUGGGCCGACACUGACGCUGAGGAGCGAAAGCCAGGGGAGCAAACGGG